UACGAAGGGAGCUAGCGUUGUUCGGAAUCACUGGGCGUAAAGCGCACGUAGGCGGAUGUGUCAGUCAGGGGUGAAAUCCCGGAGCUCAACUUCGGAACUGCCUCUGAUACAGCACGUCUUGAGUCCGGAAGAGGUGGGUGGAAUUCCUAGUGUAGAGGUGAAAUUCGUAGAUAUUAGGAAGAACACUGGUGGCGAAGGCGGCCCACUGGUCCGGUACUGGACGCUGAGGUGCGAAAGCGUGGGGGAGCAAACAGG
rnacentral:rRNA from 1 species